GCGUUACACGUCACUCGCUUUUUAUCUCUGACAAUAACUCUGCAACUGUGCUCUCUCUAUCUCUCUCGUGUCGAUCCAAAUUGUCUCGAAUUAUCGUCGGUGUGGUGUGUCUUCUUGCUAAGUUUCGACCUGAUAACAUACGGACCACACGAAAGCUUUCCUUUACUCCUUUCCUGAACUAUCAUCUAGUGCUUUAAAAAUAGACACGGUUGGGUUUGACAUCAAAAGACUGUUCCAG
rnacentral:lncRNA from 1 species